AGCGAACGCUGGCGGCAGGCCUAACACAUGCAAGUCGAACGAACUCUUCGGAGUUAGUGGCGGACGGGUGAGUAACACGUGGGAACGUGCCUUUUGGUUCGGAAUAACUCAGGGAAACUUGUGCUAAUACCGAAUGUGCCCUUCGGGGGAAAGAUUUAUCGCCAUUAGAGCGGCCCGCGUCUGAUUAGCUAGUUGGUGAGGUAACGGCUCACCAAGGCGACGAUCAGUAGCUGGUCUGAGAGGAUGACCAGCCACACUGGGACUGAGACACGGCCCAGACUCCUACGGGAGGCAGCAGUGGCGAAUCUUGCGCAAUGGGCGAAAGCCUGACGCAGCCAUGCCGCGUGAAUGAUGAAGGUCCUAGGAUUGUAAAAUUCUUUCACCGGGGACGAUAAUGACGGUACCCGGAGAAGAAGCCCCGGCUAACUUCGUG
rnacentral:rRNA from 1 species